rnacentral:rRNA from 1 species
UACAGAGGGUGCGAGCGUUAAUCGGAAUUACUGGGCGUAAAGCGUGCGUAGGCGGUCGUGAAAGUCGGGUGUGAAAGCCCCGGGCUCAACCUGGGAAUUGCAUUCGAGACUGCACGGCUGGAGUGCGGAAGAGGGAAGCGGAAUUUCCGGUGUAGCGGUGAAAUGCGUAGAUAUCGGAAGGAACAUCAGUGGCGAAAGCGGCUUGCUGGUCCAGCACUGACGCUCAGGAACGAAAGCGUGGGGAGCAAACAGG